rnacentral:rRNA from 1 species
UACGUAGGGUGCGAGCGUUAAUCGGAAUUACUGGGCGUAAAGCGUGCGCAGGCGGUUCUCUGUGUCCUGUGUGAAAGCCCCGGGCUUAACCUGGGAAUGGCAUGGGAAACUGGCGAGCUUGAGUGCGGCAGAGGGGGGUGGAAUUCCGCGUGUAGCAGUGAAAUGCGUAGAGAUGCGGAGGAACACCGAUGGCGAAGGCAGCCCCCUGGGUCGACACUGACGCUCAGGCACGAAAGCGUGGGGAGCAAACAGG